rnacentral:lncRNA from 1 species
GAAAGACAACUGGCAGAACACAAAGAAGCAAGUACAGGAAGCCACAAAGCCGAGAUAGCUGUCCCUCCCCAUCUCCAGUAGAAUGUAGGGGAAGCAGAGGGGAGGGUGGGAGGGGGCUGACUAACUUGAGGAAAGUUCUUAUUCAGUGUGUAUUCACACCUGUGGACUAACACACUUACAUAUAUACAUAUACAUAUGUAUUCACUUUAGGGUCACUGUAGUACUACAGUAGAUAUCCUGCUAACCAUGAAUAAGGAACCCUCUUUCCGUUCAGCUGCCCACCUAGAUAAGGCCCUGUCAAAGGCAAGCAAACAGACAGAAGACCACUGGAAGAAAUGAAGGAAGCAGAGGUGCCUGGAAGCCAACUGAGUUAUGAUGGUGUUACCCUCAAAUGGGGGACCCUAGAGGAUGUCGUAUAUCACAGAAAACCCACUAUGCUGCCGGCCCUUAGAGAAGAAAUUGAAAAUGCAUGA